AUCCUUCUGUAGUUCAUAAAUGUGAUGACUGGGUGUUCACACACGUGUGAGAUGUGCCUCCCUAAAAUCUUGUUAUGAUAUUGGCACAUUACCUGUCUGACG